AAGCAAGUCAAACUCUCUACCCCUUGUGUCGAUCAGGGAUCCAAGUAGCAUCAAUAUGAUCCAAGCUUCGAACAGAAGUUAUACGAGGCAGCUAUCCAGCAUCCAUACCAUUAAAGUAGACUUCCCCUCGUAACAUUAAGGUCAGUUUCCCUGCAAAAGCCCCUCCCUUCAAUGUGAGGGGAUGGAGGACAAGACUCCAUCAUCUGGUAUCUCUAACUGUAAGAGCUAGCAAGGUACCUGAUCUCUGGGAGCUAUGGAAAGAAUACAUGCUGAGUGAAUGUGUUACUGAAUAACCUCCCAAACUUGCUGCAGACUCCUGCUCUUGUGGAAAGAUAAAAAAAAAAAAAAAACCCUCAUCAUCUUUUAUAUAUGUUGGUGAAGGGGUGUGCCUCUGGGUGUGAGUUUAAAAAUAUAACUAACUGAAUCUCCAAGGUGUAUUCAUGAGGAAUCUGAGAUUAAAUGAAGCCCCAGUUUUCCAUACUUUAAAAAAACCAACUGCUUUAAAUUUUUAGCUGAGAAAGCGAUACUAUUUACAGAGAUUGUGCUUCUACUAACAGCCUUGCAUUUGUUGUUAAAAUAGGACCCUCUAUCAUUU
rnacentral:lncRNA from 13 species